GGAGUCGGCCGGAUGAUCGCCGGCCGGUUCAGAUGCCAGCCGGAGGAAAGUCCGAGCUCCAUAGGGCAGGGUGCUGGGUAACCCCCAGCGGGGGCAACCCCAGGGAAAGUGCCACAGAGACCAGACCGCCGUGGUUCGUCCACGGUAAGGGUGAAAGGGUGAGGUAAGAGCUCACCAGUGGCGGUGGCGACACCGUCAGCUAGGAAAACCCCACCUGGAGCAA
rnacentral:RNase_P_RNA from 1 species